rnacentral:rRNA from 1 species
GACAGAGGGUGCAGACGUUGUUCGGAAUUACUGGGCGUAAAGCGCGUGUAGGCUGCUCUGCAAGUCGGAUGUGAAAGCCCUGGGCUCAACCUAGGAAGUGCACUCGAAACUGCAGAGCUGGAGUCCUGGAGAGGAAGGCGGAAUUCUCGGUGUAAAGGUGAAAUUCGUAGAUAUCGAGAGGAACACCGGUGGCGAAGGCGGCCUUCUGGACAGUGACUGACGCUGAGACGCGAAAGCGUGGGGAGCAAACAGG